rnacentral:rRNA from 1 species
GUAGGGAAUAUUGCACAAUGGGCGAAAGCCUGAUGCAGCAACGCCGCGUGCACGAUGAAGGCCUUCGGGUCGUAAAGUGCUUUUUGGGGAGACGAGGAAGGACGGUAUCCCUAGAAUAAGGAUCGGCUAACUACGUGCCAGCAGCCGCGGUAACACGUAGGAUCCGAGCGUUAUCCGAAUUUACUGGGCGUAAAGAGCGUGCAGGUGGUUUGAUAAGUUGGAUGUGAAAGCUCCCGGCUCAACUGGGAGAGGCCGUUCAAAACUAUCAGACUUGAGGACGGUAGAGGGAGGUGGAAUUCCCGGUGUAGUAGUGAAAUGCGUAGAUAUCGGGAGGAACACCAGAGGCGAAGGCGGCCUCCUGGACCGUUUCUGACACUAAGACGCGAAAGCUAGGGGAGCGAAUGGGAUUAGAAACCCGGGUAGUCC